UCUUCGGAUUGUAAGCCCUUGCGGCGGGGACGAUGGUGACGGUACCCGCAGAAGAAGCUGCGGCCAACUUCGUGCCAGCAGCCGCGGUAAUACGAAGGGGGCUAGCGUUGCUCGGAAUCACUGGGCGUAAAGGGCGCGUAGGCGGCGGACUUAGUCGGGCGUGAAAUCCCCGGGCUCAACCCGGGGGCUGCGCCCGAUACGGGUGCGCUUGAGGGCGGGAGAGGCU
rnacentral:rRNA from 1 species